UGGAGGGCAAGUCUGGUGCCAGCAGCCGCGGUAAUUCCAGCUCCAAUAGCGUAUAUUAAAGUUGUUGCAGUUAAAAAGCUCGUAGUUGAAUUUCGGGAUUUGUCAGUUGGUCGGGCUUAACUGUCCGUAUUGACUCGAUGGAUUCUUACCUUCUGAAUAACCAGCAUGCUAUUAAUUUAGUGCGUUGGGGAAGCAGAUCUAUUACCUUGAAAAAAUUAGAGUGCUUAAAGCGAGCUAGUGCUUGAAUAGAUUAGCAUGGAAUAAUAAAAUAGGACGACAUGGUUCUAUUUUGUUGGUUUCUAGGAUCACCGUAAUGAUUAAUAGGGAUAGUUGGGGGCAUUAGUAUUCAAUUGUCAGAGGUGAAAUUCUUGGAUUUAUUGAAGACUAACUUCUGCGAAAGCAUUUGCCAAGGAUGUUUUCAUUAAUCAAGAACGAAAGUUAGGGGAUCGAAGACGAUCAGAUACCGUCGUAGUCUUAACCAUAAACUAUGCCGACUAGGAAUCGGACGAUGUUAAUUUUAUAAUGACUCGCUCGGCACCUUACGGGAAAC
rnacentral:rRNA from 1 species